AGUAGAACCCCGAAAGGGGAACGAGCCACCGUAAGGUGGACGCCAGCACAGGUGGUGCAUGGCUGUCGUCAGCUCGUGCCGUGAGGUGUCGGGUUAAGUCCUUGAACGAGCGCAACCCUUGCCUGUAGUUACUCGCCUUUAAAGGCAGCACUCUACAGGGACUGCCGUGGUUAACACGGAGGAAGGUGGGGAUGACGUCAAGUCAGCACGCCCCUUAUGUCCAGGGCUACACACGUGUUACAAUGGUCGGUACAGAGGGAUGCGAAGCCGUAAGGUGGAGCAAAUCUCAGAAAGCCGACCCCAGUUCGGAUUGCAGGCUGCAACCCGCCUGCAUGAAGCUGGAAUCGGUAGUAAUCGCGGAUCAGCAACGCCGCGGUGAAUACGUUCUCGGGCCUUGUACACACCGCCCGUCACGCCAACUGAGUCGGGGGUACCUGAAAAUGCUUGUAUGAGCAGAUAGGGUACGCUCGGCAAGGAGGGCGAAGUCGUAACAAGGCAGCCGUACCGGAAGGUGCGGCUGGAUCACCUCCUUU
rnacentral:rRNA from 1 species